rnacentral:rRNA from 1 species
GAUGAACGCUAGCGGCAGGCUUAACACAUGCAAGUCGAGGGGCAGCGAGGCCGUAGCAAUACGGCUGUCGGCGACCGGCGCACGGGUGCGUAACGCGUAUGCAACCUACCCGUAACAGGGGGAUAACACUGAGAAAUUGGUACUAAUACCCCAUAAUAUCUCGGAAGGCAUCUUCUGGGGUUGAAAACUCUGGUGGUUACGGAUGGGCAUGCGUUGUAUUAGCUAGUUGGUAAGGUAACGGCUUACCAAGGCGACGAUCAGUAGCCGGCCUGAGAGGGUGAACGGCCACAUUGGGACUGAGACACGGCCCAA